CUGGAGUCACGUCAGUGUUUAUGUGGUGGAAAGUGUGCGGGUUUGUCACCUCUGUUUUUUUCUUUCUUUUUUUUUUUUUAGGUAUUGAAAGUAAUCCAUGUUUUGUUUUGCCUACUGGUGAAGUGGUGAGGUGUGCGUGAGUGAGGCUGCCAGUGUUGACUCAAGUGUGAUGGAGGCACGGGAAGUGUGCGUGUUUUGCUGAAAAGGUUCACGACCGCAAACUUACAAUACCGUGUUUAUUAAUGUGUAUUUAUCGCAACUAGCCCAUCAGUGGGUAUGUGUUACGCCAUUCCACACUAACACGUCUUUUGGGCCUUACUUUCACACUGCACAACACAAAGUAGUGAUGAUAACCACAAAAAACGCUAGCCUGUCCAGCUCGUUGUUCAGGACCCUUCCACCCUCUACAUUUCUGAGCUUUUGUAUCUGUCGUGAUACAAAAGAGCAAAAAGACACUACAGGAUAGAGGCACAAAAGAAAGGUGAACAGAAACGCGUAAGAACCAAGCGACGACACGACGACCACACCAAGACAAAGAAAAUACUGCAAAAGGAGCUUACGAGACACAGACACCUGAUAUUCUCCCUGGUUUUAUCCGGCGACUGUGUGCCUUCUGGAGGACUAAUUGUGACGAGGAAGAUUGUAGUGAUGAAACGACGAUGCCAUGAUGAUUGCUGGAGUGUUCCUUGUGUGAGUUUGCCCUUGAUGGUCGAGUACUCCUCCAGAAGGUCUGCCGGGGCGUCUGAGAGGUGGGCGUCGCACUUCUCCAGGGUCUUGAGAGCGGCCUCCAAGUUGUCCUGGCGAGCUGCAGGGGCAAGAGGAACAAGGGUCAAGAGAUACGAUACUAAAGAAAUGGUUAUGAGGGUUGGAGUGCGGGGAGCGUUGCCACCUCCACUCAGGUAGCCAGCGAGGGCUGCUCAAGACUUCGCGUCAGACCUUCACCUGUGGCCGCCUGGACCGACAGAAAAAGCUACAUGGAAUCAUUAGCACAAAGCAGCCUCCCUCUCGCGGUCCACCAGAGUAUGGAUGUUAUAAUAAUUCCACGUUGUCUCACCAAACAAGAUCUACAAUGAACAAGCCCCUCGCUGCCACAUGUACAGUUAAGCACCUAAAGAAGUUUUUCCAGCUUUUUUACCGCAUCAUAAACUUAUACUGUGAAUUAUAAAUAUGAUAAUUGUCCCCAUCGUUCCCCUUUGUUUGUUUGGUAAACCUCGUACAAGUAUUGCAAACUUUAUCAGCGAAAGAAUAUUUUAAAGCAACUUUCUUCUGUUGUGUGUUCACCUGCGUCUGUGCCUCCUGUGUGCGUGUGUGUGUGUGUGUGUGUGUGUGUGUGUGUGUGUGUGUAGGAAGUCAUGUGUGCGGUUACCGAGAGAAGAAUACUUUGUGACAACGGAAAAAUUGGUCGUUUCCAUGCUGGUAUGGGUAUUUGCACACGUUUCUCAUGUCUUGGAAUAGAGAGGUACGGCAG